CAGUCGCCGCGGGAAUACGUAGGUGGCAAGCGUUGUCCGGAAUUAUUGGGCGUAAAGGGCUCGCAGGCGGUUUCUUAAGUCUGAUGUGAAAGCCCCCGGCUCAACCGGGGAGGGUCAUUGGAAACUGGGAAACUUGAGUGCAGAAGAGGAGAGUGGAAUUCCACGUGUAGCGGUGAAAUGCGUAGAGAUGUGGAGGAACACCAGUGGCGAAGGCGACUCUCUGGUCUGUAACUGACGCUGAGGAGCGAAAGCGUGGGGAGCAAACAGGAUUAGAUACCCGGGUAGUCCCUGUCUCUUAUAC
rnacentral:rRNA from 1 species